AUUAAGCUUUUAAUUUUUUGUUUUGGUCACUCUUGAUAGUAGACAUUGACUGAAACAAAAAAUUAAAAGCUUUAU
rnacentral:miRNA from 1 species